GGAUGUGAAAGGAUCUGGCUGUGACAUGUGUCACACCAUUGAUUGCCAGGAUAGAUGUGGCUGAUUUGGCUGACUAGAUGGGUGUUCCUUUCUCCCUCACUGCUCCAUGUAUUUCCCUCCCAAAGUUGUGCUCUUGGUGGAAGAGGAUGACCUUCCCCCAUAAAGGUGGACCAGUAUCUGUGCUCCCCUGCUAAAACCCCCAAAGUCUCAAGACUUUAACAUGAGACCUAAAACUCGGAAAACAUUAGAGGAAAACAUAUUGACAGCACUUUGAGAUAAAGGCCAGGCAAGUACUCU
rnacentral:sRNA from 1 species